rnacentral:rRNA from 1 species
UACGUAGGCGGCGAGCGUUAUCCGGAUUUACUGGGCGUAAAGAGGGCGCAGGCGGCUUGGCAAGUCGGAUGUAAAAUCUCCCGGCUUAACUGGGAGAGAUCGUUCGAUACUGUUAGGCUAGAGGGCAGCAGAGGGUGAUGGAAUUCCCGGUGUAGUGGUGAAAUGCGUAGAUAUCGGGAGGAACACCAGUGGCGAAGGCGGUCACCUGGGCUGUUACUGACGCUUAAGCCCGAAGGCGUGGGGAGCAAAC